rnacentral:rRNA from 1 species
AGUGAACGCUGGCGGUAGGCCUAACACAUGCAAGUCGAACGGCAGCACAGUAAGAGCUUGCUCUUACGGGUGGCGAGUGGCGGACGGGUGAGGAAUACAUCGGAAUCUACUUUUUCGUGGGGGAUAACGUAGGGAAACUUACGCUAAUACCGCAUACGACCUACGGGUGAAAGCAGUGGAUCUUCGGACCUUGCGCGAUUGAAUGAGCCGAUGUCGGAUUAGCUAGUUGGCGGGGUAAAGGCCCACCAAGGCGACGAUCCGUAGCUGGUCUGAGAGGAUGAUCAGCCACACUGGAACUGAGACACGGUCCAGACUCCUACGGGAGGCAGCAGUGGGGAAUAUUGGACAAUGGGCGAAAGCCUGAUCCAGCCAUACCGCGUGGGUGAAGAAGGCCUUCGGGUUGUAAAGCCCUUUUGUUGGGAAAGAAAAGCAGCAGGUUAAUACCCCGCUGUUAUGACGGUACCCAAAGAAUAAGCACCGGCUAACUUCGUG